rnacentral:rRNA from 1 species
GACGGAGGGGGCAAGCGUUGUCCGGAAUUACUGGGCGUAAAGCGCUCGUAGGCGGUCGCGUACGGCGGUGGUGAAAGCUCCCGGCUCAACUGGGAGAGGCCCGUCGCAACGGCGUGACUCGAGGGUGGUAGAGGCAGAUGGAAUUCCUGGUGUAGCGGUGAAAUGCGUAGAGAUCAGGAGGAACACCCGUGGCGAAGGCGGUCUGCUGGGCCACACCUGACGCUGAGGAGCGAAAGCCAGGGGAGCGAACGGG